rnacentral:tRNA from 1 species
GGCCACGGCUCAGUGGUAAAGCUUCUGUCUAGUAUGCUGAAGGGUCCCAGGUUCGAUCCCCAGCAAUCACCA